CCUACGGGAGGCAGCAGUGGGGAAUUUUGGACAAUGGACGCAAGUCUGAUCCAGCCAUGCCGCGUGUGGGAAGAAGGCCUUCGGGUUGUAAACCACUUUUGUCAGGGAAGAAACGGUCUAGGUUAAUACCUUGGGCUAAUGACGGUACCUGAAGAAUAAGCACCGGCUAACUACGUGCCAGCAGCCGCGGUAAUACGUAGGGUGCAAGCGUUAAUCGGAAUUACUGGGCGUAAAGCGUGCGCAGGCGGUUAUGCAAGACAGAUGUGAAAUCCCCGGGCUCAACCUGGGAACUGCAUUUGUGACUGCAUGGCUAGAGUACGGUAGAGGGGGAUGGAAUUCCGCGUGUAGCAGUGAAAUGCGUAGAUAUGCGGAGGAACACCGAUGGCGAAGGCAAUCCCCUGGACCUGUACUGACGCUCAUGCACGAAAGCGUGGGGAGCAAACAGGAUUAGAUACCCUGGUAGUCCACGCCCUAAACGAUGUCAACUGGUUGUUGGGAGGGUUUCUUCUCAGUAACGUAGCUAACGCGUGAAGUUGACCGCCUGGGGAGUACGGCCGCAAGGUUGAAACUCAAAGGAUUGACGG
rnacentral:rRNA from 1 species